rnacentral:tRNA from 1 species
UCCCUGGAGGACUAGUGGUUAGUCCUCGGCGCUCUCACCACCACAGCCUGGGUUUGAUUCCUUGCCAGGGAA